GCACUCUUGGUGUAACGGUAACACACACUCACUGUUCCAAUUGGAUUCGAGUGGUCCCGGGUUCGACUCCCGGAGGGCGCC